rnacentral:lncRNA from 1 species
AUUGUACAAUCAAUUCAAUGAGAGGUGUCAUUCUUUAUUGGAUUCAGCUCUUAAAGUUUAAGUUAGAUUCAGUUUAAGUUCAGCUUUUAAAGUUCAGGUUUAAGGUUCUAUACAUGGUUCAGAUUUUAAGUUCAGGUUUAAGUGGAUUAGAUUCAGUUUAAGUUCAGUUUUUAAAUUUAUGUGGUUCAGGUUUAAGGUUCAGUUUAAGUUCAGGUUUAAGGUUCUGUACAUGGUUCAGGGUUAGGUCUAGGUGAUUUAAGUUCUGAUUUAAAUUUAUGUUUAGGUUCAGACUUCAAUUCAGGUUUAGGUAAAUUUAAAUUCAGGUUGAGAGAAUAGAUUCAGGUUCAGAAGAGAUAAGAUAGGAGAGGUAAGAGAGAAG